rnacentral:lncRNA from 10 species
AUCGGUCACCACAAAAUUCAAAAGACAAGGUCUUUGUCUGUUGCUCAGGAUGGAGUGUAGUGGUGCCAUAGCACACUGUAAUCUUGAAUUUCUGGACUACUGGCAUACACCACCAUGCUUAGGUUCGGGCCACAACAUCCGUGACUUUACCGGUUUUGGUCUCUUCCUUGUAACUUUCGGCUCCAGGAUGCUGCGCAGCUCCUCUCUGCACUAUCUAUCAGAACGUUGCUCUGCGUGCUUGAAAGUUUCGCCAAACAGAAGUACACAAAAACAAACAGAGGCGAAACACAAAUCCCCUCAGCCCUGGAGGAAAAGGCCUUGAAGCUCUUCCAGUGCAGAGGCCACGCAGAGGACAUGCUCCUACCUGUGCACAUCGGCCACGCCUGGGGUGCCUCCUGGAGUCCAGGCUGCUGGCGAUGGAAUCCAUCAUGUUGCUGAUGUCACUACUCUCAACUCCUGAUGGCAUCAGAACACAGGCAGCAUCAAGAUCAGGCUCAAGAUGCAGGAUUUUAUCAUCCAAAUCAGGCCCACAUAUGGAUGAAACCCUUCAGGUAUUCUGCACAUCUCUCAGGAAACCCAGAUGAAAUUGAGUGCCUGCUGCCCACAUCAGCAACCCAGACAUCCCACUUGAUUCUGCUUCUGGAGCCUAAGAUGGGAAAAUGGCAGGUGUCGCAGGUUGCAGGGGAAGGUC